rfam:Gorilla gorilla gorilla genomic chromosome, chr8, whole genome shotgun sequence
GCAUGCAAGGGUGAUCUGGCUGUGACAUCUGUCACCUUAUUGACCACCAGGAUUAAUUCAGCUGAUCUGGCUGGCUAGGCAGGUGUCCCCUUCCUCCCUCAGCACUCCACGUGCCUCUCUCCCGAAGCUGUGCACUCAGUUGAAGUGGAUGACCAUCUCUGACAGAGGAGGACCGGCCUUCGGUCAAGGGUAGAGAGUAGCUGAGCUCCCCUGCUAGAAUCUCCAGACAAGCUCUCAAAAUUCAACAUAUUCAUUCAUGCAGUAGAGUUUUAUGUUUUUUUUUUUUUUUGAAGGUUUUGUCUGAGCCAGACCCUGAAGA